GCUUUGGAGGAGCUGUAGAAGCCAAUCAAGGAGGGAUUUUUAUUGCUUCCAUGACAGGACAUAGUUAAAAUCAGGGAGAGGUGGAAGAAUUGAGUAAAACUCCUUGGGGAGAAACAAAUACAGUUCAUGGGGAAAAAAAUGGAAACAUAGCAGUGCCUUGGGACAAGAACUAUCUUCGAUAACCAAUUCUAAAACUAUUUAAAUUGCCAGAAACUGAAAGUAAUAAACUGCUAUGUGUCCGUGUUCUGGAAGAAUUUAUUCCUGAC